CACGUAGGGCGCGAGCGUUGUCCGGAAUUAUUGGGCGUAAAGAGCUCGUAGGCGGCCUGUUGCGUCCGCUGUGAAAGCCCGGGGCUUAACCCCGGGUCGGCAGUGGAUACGGGCAGGCUAGAGGUAGGUAGGGGAGAAUGGAAUUCCCGGUGUAGCGGUGAAAUGCGCAGAUAUCGGGAGGAACACCAGUGGCGAAGGCGGCUCUCUGGACCUCUGCUGACGCUGAGGCGCGAAAGCGUGGGGAGCGAUCCGG
rnacentral:rRNA from 1 species